rnacentral:rRNA from 1 species
CCUACGGGAGACAGCAGUGGGGAAUAUUGCGCAAUGGGCGAAAGCCUGACGCAGCGACGCCGCGUGAGGGAUGAAGGUCUUCGGAUCGUAAACCUCUGUCAGCAGGGAAGAACGGUCACUGUGCUAAUCAGCAGUGAAUUGACGGUACCUGCAAAGGAAGCACCGGCUACCUCCGAGCCAGCAGCCGCGGGAAUACGGAGGGUGCGAGCGUUAAUCGGAAUUACUGGGCGUAAAGCGCUCGUAGGCGGUAUGUCAAGUCAAGGGGGAAAUCCCCGCGCUCAACGUGGGAACUGCCUUUGAAACUGGCAAACUGGAGUGUGUGAGAGGAUAGUGGAAUUCCAGGUGUAGGAGUGAAAUCCGUAGAUAUCUGGAGGAACAUCAGUGGCGAAGGCGACUAUCUGGCACAUAACUGACGCUGAGGAGCGAAAGCGUGGGUAGCAAACAGGAUUAGAUACCCUUGUAGUC